rnacentral:ncRNA from 1 species
UGCUGUUGCCAUGGUAACCCCGCUCUGUAGGAGAGGAACCACAGGGUCAGACAUUUGGCAUAUGUGCUUGGCUGAAGAGCCAAUAGGGGGAAGCCACCAUCUGUAGCAUUAUGAUCACUUCUAGGUCAGAAGCCGACCCCGGGUCAAUUGAUAUGGCUGCACUCCGGGAGCCUCAGUCAUCCUAAGCAAGCCUGUCUCCACACCCAGCAUCCCUUGGGGCACAGUGUGCCACACCACACGUUGGGACUGGGGUCUGGUGUGGACAGCCCUUCACCGUGGGACACACAGCAUGGCCAGAAAGGUGGCCACCCCCUGGCCCAUCACACACCAUGUGUUCAUGGGCAACUUGGUGCUAAACCAUCUGUAGCUGACCUGCUUCUAGGUCAGGGUUUCAUACCUAGGACAGCAGCUCCCUCAUUGUGAUCUAUUUAAAGUCAGCCCUUGACACAAGGUUU